rnacentral:rRNA from 1 species
CCUACGGGUGGCUGCAGUGGGAGAUAUUGCACCAUGGAGGAAACUCUGAUGCAGCAACGCCGCGUGAGGGAAGAAGGUCUUCGGAUUGUAAACCUCUGUCAUCAGGGACGAUAAUGACGGUACCUGAGGAGGAAGCCCCGGCUAACUACGUGCCAGCAGCCGCGGGAAUACGUAGGGAGCAAGCGUUGUCCGGAUUUACUGGGUGUAAAGGGUGCGUAGGCGGCCCUGCAAGUCAGGUGUGAAAACUAUGGGCUUAACUCAUAGAUUGCACUUGAAACUGUGGGGCUUGGGAGAAGUAGAGGCAGGCGGAAUUCCCGGUGUAUGGGGGAAAUGCGUAGAGAUCGGGGAGAACACCAGUGGCGAAGGCGGCCUGCUGGGCUUUAACUGACGCUGAUGCACGACAGCGUGGGUAGCAAACAGGAUUAGAUACCCGUGUAGUC